UUUAGGGUUUUGGGGGAUUAUUAGGAGUUUUACGGAUUUUUAAUCAAUUUUACUAAAACAUUUUCUGAAAAUUAGGUCAACUACAGCACUCUUAGAGUUAUUUUACAAAAUGCCCAGUCUUUGAGCAAAUUUCACAUUUUGGAAAUAGCUUUUUCCUUUCAGCAUGAGGAUGCACAGAUCCAUUGUGUGGAAACUUCUGUCCUGGCAACCCUGGCCCCUCUGACAAGAAUGCAUCUAUUGUUCUUCUCCACCUCGCCAAGGGUGGAUGAGUAAGAGCGAACUGCAGGAACAGCUGUUCGUGGAGCUAUAUCUUCCGCUCAAUCUUGAAAAAAAAAAAAA